rnacentral:rRNA from 1 species
ACGGAGGGUGCGAGCGUUGUCCGGAAUCACUGGGCGUAAAGGGCGCGUAGGCGGCGCGACAAGUCAACGGUGAAAGCCCGGGGCUCAACCCCGGGUCGGCCGUCGAUACUGUUGGGCUGGAGCACUGUAGAGGCAGGUGGAAUUCCGGGUGUAGCGGUGGAAUGCGUAGAGAUCCGGAAGAACACCGGUGGCGAAGGCGGCCUGCUGGGCAGUAGCUGACGCUGAUGCGCGACAGCGUGGGGAGCAAACAGGA